UAAUACGUAGGUGGCAAGCGUUGUCCGGAUUUAUUGGGUUUAAAGGGUGCGUAGGCGGUCCCAUAAGUCAGUGGUGAAAUACUCUAGCUUAACUAGAGGGGUGCCAUUGAUACUGCGGGACUUGAGUGGAGUUGAAGUGGGCGGAAUUGACGGUGUAGCGGUGAAAUGCUUAGAUAUCGUCAAGAACACCGAUAGUGAAGACAGCUCACUAAGCUCAAACUGACGCUGAGGCACGAAAGUGUGGGGAUCAAACAGGAUUAGAUACCCUGGUAGUCCACACUGUAAACGUUGAUUACUCGCUGUUGGCGAUACACAGCCAGCGGCUAAGCGCAAGCGAUAAGUAAUCCACCUGGGGAGUACGCCGGCAACGGUG
rnacentral:rRNA from 1 species